CAGAGGGUCACCAGGAGCCAGGCAGGGUACAGCUGCUUGGGACAUGUGGAUGCUCCGAGGAGGCACGUGCCAGCUGAGCAGGAAAGCCCUCCAUCAGGCAGAGCCGUCUCCCCGUGUCUGCCCUGGGUCGAGUGAACACUCAUCUCUUGUGGUAUACGAGCUGCCGCCGAGGCCCACCUGAAGAGGAGGCUCUGGACGGGUCUGGCCACCAACAAGGGCCUCUUUCCUGGUGGCAUCACAGAUGGACAGAGAGAUCCUGGAACCUCCGCCCACCCCUGUUCCCAUUGCUGGGGCUGGCAGGCUCCCUGAGCUAUUACUAGACUCUAGACAUCAUGAGGGCAUGAUCCCGGUCCCUCUUUUCAGAGGUGUCCCCCUCAGAACCUAGGACAGCACCUGGCACUCAGAAGGCGUUCAGGAAAUGUUUGUUGACUGACAGUUUGAGUGGCCCAAGUCCUGUCCCCUCCUGGCCACUCCACCAUACAAAUCUUCUGGUGGUCUGCAUGCCUCCCAGACAGAGGGGAGCCUGGAUCUGAGCUCGAGAGGAGGAGAGUGGGUCUGUCCCCUCCCUGCUCCAUGCAUCAUGCCUCUAUUAAUGCAGCCUGAGGUACUGCUGGAUUUUCAGGCUACACAUCAUGCUGAGGACUGACAGUCACUGAGGCUGGUUGUUGUUGCCUCUUGCUCUGGGACUGGUGCUGGGGGUGCAGAGGCUGAGAGUAACAAGGAGCGGGCAGGAGAGACAGAGAUGAGGAUGGCUCACAGGCUGAUGGAGAGACAAGGGAGAUGGGCAGUUUCCUGAGAGCCAACCUGUGGAUGGGGCAGGGAGUUCUGGGCCCUUGAGUGGUCAUUGGGGUUCACAGAGCCAGCUCCCUUCGGGAUGGCAGAGGUCAGCUCCCUCUUCCACCUCUGCUCUGCCUCCACGAGGACAGCCUCUGUCUUCCCUCAAGGGCCCCUUUAGGGCUGAGCUUGGCACCCCUUUGACCUUCCCCAAAGAAUCCCGUGCCCAAGGGUAUCAGUGAGCAUCCAGGACUUCCCUGGAGAUGCUAAGGGAGAUGAGAGCAGUCGCUCCUUAGACCCACCCGCACGGCAACAACGGAAGAGACAGGCAAGGCAGUGUGGGUUGGAAUGGGGAGCAGCCGGGUCUCUCCCUUGCAGCUGGGGGAGUGUGAACUUGCACAGCUCCGGGAGAAAGCUGUUUUGCAGUGUCUGCUAAAGCUAACCCUAGGCACGCUCGGGUCCAAGAAUCCCACUCCUGGGUACAGACCCAAUGGAAAUGUGUUGAACAUAUGUUCAACAGAAGAAAGUUCAGAGCAGAACCAUACAUGAUAGCCAAAAAUGGAAACUACUCGGAGGCCCUCCCAGGUGGACUAGGCAAGGAACUCGUGGACCAGCCAUGCAGUGGAAUCCUCUACAGCAGAGAACCAAGAGGCUACAGCUACGUGCCACAUGCACGGCCGAGUCUGGUGGACAAACUGCUGGGUGAAAGAAGCCAGACACAAGAGCGCAUCUGCGUGACUCCCAU
rnacentral:lncRNA from 1 species